rnacentral:rRNA from 1 species
AUUGAACGCUGGCGGCAGGCCUAACACAUGCAAGUCGAACGAGCGGCGGACGGGUGAGUAAUGUCUGGGAAACUGCCCGAUGGAGGGGGAUAACUACUGGAAACGGUAGCUAAUACCGCAUACCAUCAGAUGUGCCCAUGUGGGAUUAGCUAGUUGGUGGGGUACAGGCUCACCUAGGCGACGAUCCCUAGCUGGUCUGAGAGGAUGACCAGCCACACUGGAACUGAGACACGGUCCAGACUCCUACGGGAGGCAGCAGUGGGGAAUAUUGCACAAUGGGCGCAAGCCUGAUGCAGCCAUGCCGCGUGUAUGAAGAAGGCCUUCGGGUUGUAAAGUACUUUCAGCGGGGAGGCGUUACCCGCAGAAGAAGCACCGGCUAACUCCGUGCCAGCAGCCGCGGUAAUUC